rnacentral:tRNA from 1 species
UCGUCGAAUUGGGUUGCGUGGGAGGUUAUUACAGCGUUUGUAGCUGCUAUCGGCUUCUUGAUGGCUGGCGUUCGGCUCGCUGUUCGGCGAG